UUCUUAUUGGUUAAGGGAUAGGGAUAGGAAUAGGCCCUUAUCCCCCCCUUUAUACCCAAACACUAAUUUUUUACCCGAGAAUAGUAGUUCUCGGUUAUCCCCACCAACACCUCCAUUUUCUAUAUAAAACUAUCUAAAAUUGUUCUUAUCCCCGGAAACAACCCAAUUUUCAUCCAAACGCUAUUUUUCUUAUCCCCAUAUUUGUACCUAUUCCUGUAAUAGCUAGUUCUUGUUUAUACCCGAAUCAAACGGUACCAAAAAGUACAUAUAAACUUAUACAUAUAUAACUUGUGGUAGCAUAAAAUAGUAGAUUUAUUUGAUCAUUUUCUAUUAAUAUUAAUUAGAAAGUAUUAUAUAAAAUAGCAAAAAUAGGAAAUUAAUUGAAUUUGGGUAAAAUGGUAGGUCUUUUGUUGUUGGGUAUUUCUU
rnacentral:lncRNA from 1 species